rnacentral:rRNA from 1 species
GACGAACGCUGGCGGCGUGCCUAAUACAUGCCAGUUGAGCGAUGAAGAUUGGUGCUUGCACCAAUUUGAAGAGCAGCGAACGGGUGAGUAACGCGUGGGGAAUCUGCCUUUGAGCGGGGGACAACAUUUGGAAACGAAUGCUAAUACCGCAUAACAACUUUAAACAUAAGUUUUAAGUUUGAAAGAUGCAAUUGCAUCACUCAAAGAUGAUCCCGCGUUGUAUUAGCUAGUUGGUGAGGUAAAGGCUCACCAAGGCGAUGAUACAUAGCCGACCUGAGAGGGUGAUCGGCCACAUUGGGACUGAGACACGGCCCAAACUCCUACGGGAGGCAGCAGUAGGGAAUCUUCGGCAAUGGACGAAGGUCUGACCGAGCAACGCCGCGUGAGUGAAGAAGGGUUUCGGAUCGUAAAACUCUGUUGGUAGAGAAGAACGUUGGUGAGAGUGGAAAGCUCAUCAAGUGACGGUAACUACCCAGAAAGGGACGGCUAACUACGUG